GGGGAAGGUGGGGGUGGACACGAAUACCUGGACUCGGAGGAAGGCGUGGCUCCAGUUUGGGGAAGAAAUGGGGCGCGUCUCCCUGAAGCUUUGAUUCACUCAACAAUCAGACAGGGGUGAUGGAGCCACAAGUUAUCCACUACUAGCUAACCAACACGAGCUGGUGAAGCAGAAAAACUCCUCUGAGGGGAGACGGGCCUGUAGCCUCACGGAUGAUGGACUUAUCACCACCACCGAAAAGCUGCUGAAGUCAUCGUUUCUGGGUCCUGGGCAGUAUUUUUUGGUAUCAGUUACUCCCAGGGCGGCCUCGGCAGUACGCCAAGGUCUGGCACACCAGCCUCAUUCUGAGUUCAUAUCUGCUUCCUACACCCCUGGGUCCAUCCCUUCCCAUUGGCUGGUAUGGGGGGCUGGAUCACACCUGGUAUCACCCGAUCCUGCGAUCUGCUCCAGCAACCACAGCCUUUCCUGAAGCUGUAAACAUUCGUUGGCGCUGUGCCUUGUGGCAAAGGUACAAGAUGCUGGUCUCAACAACAAGCAUCCAAAGGAAAAAUCCAACCAAGAAAUGAGAAGGUGCAUCUGGGCCUGGCAGUGCCAACUCCACUGUGCUUUCCCACCCACACUGCUUGCCCAUGGAGGACUGUCUAUAAAAGAGCUGCAGCUCAGCGUGGAUGGGGUUUUCACUGAUAUUUUAAGGCAGGUUUUUACUGUAUAGUUCUAGCUGGAACUUGUGUAGACCUGGCCUCGAACUCACACAGCUCCACCUGCCUCUGCCUCCCAAGUGCUGUGAUUUAAAGAUGUGAGGCAGCGUGCCCAGUUAUUAAAUGUUUUAAAAAUU
rnacentral:lncRNA from 1 species